UUUUUAAAGUAAUAAUUUUAAAUAAAACCUGCUCCAUGUAUAUUGAAAUAUAUAAAUAGCCGCAGAAUUAACUGUGCUAAGGUAGCAUAAUCAUUAGCCCCCUAAUUAGGGGCUAGAAUGAAAGGUUUAACAAUUCAUUUACUUUUUUAUCUUUUAUAGUAAAAUUUAUAUUAAAUAUAAAAAUAUAUUUAUACUAAGGUUAGACGACAAGACCCCAUAGAACUUAACUUAAGUUAAGCUGGGGCAGCUAUUUAAUAAUAAUUUUAAAUAAGUUAACAAAUUAAAAGACCCUAUAAAAUAGAUUUAUUGAACAAGUUACCUUGGGGAUAACAGCGUAAUAUUUUUUUAAAGUUCGUAUUUAAAAAAAAGUUAACGACCUCGAUGUUGAAUUAAUUUUUCUUUAAAAUGCAAGCAUUUUAGAAGUAGGCCUGUUCGGCCUUUAAUUUAUU
rnacentral:rRNA from 1 species